UUGUUCCUAUAGUUUUUAUUUUUUCAAUUUACAUUUUAGAAAUAAAAAUGUUUUUUAUCAUUUUGCAACAGUACAAUAUGACAUAAUGAUUCAUGAUCUAAUUGUAAGUAAUGAAUAAUGAGUGACAAGAUGGAUUUUAAACAUUUUUACCAGAGGAGUUAUCUCCACUUGGUAAUUUGCAUAUUAUAAUGAGGAAUGAAUAUGUAACAUGCAUUUCAUUUCUACUCUACAACAUUACAGAAAGUAUUUAAAUAUAUAUGUCUUAACUGAAAUGUUAAGUAGGGAAUAAGCUUAUUGUUUUGAUUGUCAUAAAUCUAUAAAUUAAUAAUCCGCCAUGAUAGUGUGUUUACUGACUGUAUAAAAUAUGUUAUGUAUGAAUUUAUACUGGUGUGUUUUCUUCAAAAUUAAUAAUAAAAUCAAUCUUUGAAGUGAUAAACAAGGAAAAGGACAUCUAUUUUUUUAAAUAAUUUUUUUUUAUAAUUUGUUUAUUUUUUCUAUACAAGAAAAAACAAAAUCCAGCUGUUUCAUUGGUUAUCAAAAUAUUUAAAGGAAUUUGAAUGUCAUGUAUUGCUUUUAUAGCUGUCUUUUCUGUUUGUGAAUGACGUUAUAGAAAUAAGCAAUGAGUUAAUGUUAUCAUGGGUAUUGAGAAGGGGAAAAAAACCACUUUAAAAAAUAUUGUCUAAAAACAACAAAAUAUUGCACUGUUAGGGAAAUGCUGAAGUUUGUUUACAUUGCAUAGGUAAAAAACAACAAAAUAAACAAAGAAAAAGACUGUAGAUCUAGUGUAAAAAUAUCUAACUUGUAAAGGACAAUGUAAUUAGAUAUGAUUCCAGAUUGAUGCAAAACAUCUAACUACCCAACAUAUUUAUUGGAUGAACUUAGUUCGUCAAAUUUACACAUACUCAGCCGAAAUAUUAUUGAAAGAUUAAAAAAGACACAAUUCAAGAAAUAUCAAGGAACCUGGAGGAACUUAUUUUUAAACUAUAAUACUUAACAAUCUGUUAUCAUGUAAAUUGAUAUUUUCAUCAUACUUCAUGAAAUCCCCUCCAAUAACUUGACAUCACUAUGGAAUCAUUUUCUAGUCAAAAAGGGGAGAUAACUAUGGGACUAGCAUAGAAUUAUUGCAAAUAGUAAUAACAAUAUAAUUAUGUUUGGCACACAAUACACAGAUAAAUAUUUAUAGACAUUAGCCUGAUAUGUCACACACAUAUACAUAUAGUUUACAUCAGGCAAUUUACUCAAUGGUUAAUUCAAGAUUACUAUACCAGUACUUAAACGUACUCCAAUGGCACAUACAAAGGUUAAAGAGAAAUAUCUCCUAUUUAUCAACUUUUUCUCUUUUAUUAAGAUUUAUAGAUGCACUAAACCAUUCAUGAUUUUUGAAGUUGGGUCGGUUCAAUACUAAAAAUAUUACGGAGCUUAUACAACUAUGACAUGUAUGUCAAUAGGAUGUGUAUUUUUGACCUUGUUAAGUAACUUUAUACUGUAUGUAAAUUGUGCAGUAUAAGAUUUAAAGGUUUUAACUUUAUAAUGUAAAGAUAAACAUUUAAAUAUCGAAAGUCACAAAUCUGAUCUUUGUUAUUUAAAUUGAACAAUGGAUCUUUUAAAUAACACUAGUUUAAAAUCUAUAGGUUAUAAAAUAGACAGAGAAAAAAAUAUGACCUGUCAUUGUGUA
rnacentral:lncRNA from 1 species